UACCGUCGGUACUUCUCCUGGGUGUUUCCGGCUCAAUAUCUUGGUCCUUCAUUGCACCCUGAUCUGAGCUCUUGUUUUUGGUGGAUUUUUUCUUCCCACCGAAAGAGAGCCACUUAAAGAAGUUGCCCACUUUCUUGUUCUUUUUCGGGCGCGAGUUGGGAAGCACGUCUCCCUCUCCCUCAGCAACAUCAACAGGCUUCUCAUCAGGCCGAUGAGGAUGUUUCUCCGCCGUGCUGCUGCUGCUGGGGUUUGGGUCGUAAACCUGCUCGCCAUCCGUAAAAGAUCGUACUCGUGAACUUCUCUGUCCCAUGAUGAACCACUGAUGGUAUCAAUCAAUCAGACUAGAUCAGCUACAAACCGAGUGAUGAGAGAGAGAGUCGCGUCCCUUCAGUUCAGUGGGCCUGGUGUACACGAGUGAGUGGGAAAACAAACCAGAGAAACAACAGUAGACUUCUUCCUACACAUCUUACAUCUUCCUAAAUCACCUCUACAAGUGUUCACCAUAUAUCUCUGUAAAAAUUUUGCUGCUGUAGACCUCUUGGUGCCUGGAGUGGGGGAGCUUUUGUGGAUCCCUGACUGCGUCUGAAAUCACAUACUUCACUACUGUAAAGUAGGCGAAAAACAGACCCUGCGGUCACAGUGUAAGUACUUAUUCAAAACAAGUACCCACUCAAGAGAGAAUGCCAUUUCGGACGCAGCCGCUGAGAGACGAGAGACUAGAACUUUUGAGUCAACGACUAGCACUGUAAGAAUAUUUCCUUUUUAUAAAUAUACUGAAAAAAAAAUGGUGUAGAAACAGUUUUCACUCAGAAUUUGCUAGUGAAUUUCACAAUUAAUUACAAAGAAACCGAAAGCAAGACAUUGAAUUAUAUGUGAAAUUUUGAAGUAGAAAGUCUCAAACAGUAUUUUCUUGUAAAUCACUCUAGUAACCCU